CCAAAUCCGUUAAAGGAUUUUUAGGCUGCAUUAAUUAGGUAAACCGGAACCGGAAACACUUCACAUAACACCCUAUGUACUUGCUACAUCAUUAGAAGAAUGGCAUCUACGCUAAUAUUUGUCUGUUUCUCUCUUGUUCCGAGGUCACCGUGGCCACCAGAUCCAGUCUGUAUCCAGAUCAGAGGGUCACUGCAGUCACCCGGAUCCAGUACGUAUCCAGACCAGAUGGUGGAUCAGCACCUAGAAAGGACCUCUACUGCCCUGAAAGACAGCGGAGACCAGGACAACUAGAGCCCAGAUACAGAUCCCCUGUAAAGACCUUGUCUCAGAGGAGCACCAGGACAAGACCACAGGAAACAGAUGAUUCUUCUGCACAAUCUGACUUUGCUGCAGCCUGGAAUUGAACUACUGGUUUCGUCUGGUCAGAGGAGAACUGGCCCCCCAACUGAGCCUGGUUUCUCCCAAGGUUUUUUUCUCCAUUCUGUCACCGAUGGAGUUUCGGUUCCUUGCCGCUGUCGCCUCUGGCUUGCUUAGUUGGGGUCACUUCAUCUACAGCGAUAUCGUUGACUUGAUUGCAAAUUAAAACAGACACUAUUUCAACUGAACAGAGAUGACAUCAAUGAAUUCAAUGAUGAACUGCCUUUAACUAUCAUUUUGCAUUAUUGAGACACUGUUUUCCAAAUGAAUGUUGUUCAGUGCUUUGGCGCAAUGUAUUUUGUUUAAAGCACUAUAUAAAUAAAGGUGAUUGAUUGAUUGAUUGAUACAAAUAAACUUGAAUUGAAUUGAAUUGAAUUGAAUGAUGUAAAGUGUAAAGUGUAAAGUGGGUGUUUUGUGCUGUUGUAGCAAUGUAAAAGUGCUCAAAACUAUAAAAACAACCCAACAUCCAAAAAACA